GAGGCUUUGGGACCGUGCCUGGCUAACUUCUCUGCCGCCCCGGGCUUCCCCCCACUCGGGAAUAGCGGCUUCCCAGUCUCGCCCAGCACUCCCCCUUCCUAACGCCGAAAAGAUUGCAUUUGCCCCAUUUACUCUGCUCCUGCCGCUGACCCUACCCUAUAAAUCUGGGCGGGGCAGUGCGUGCUCUCUGCCUUGGCAUUCAAGGCCUUGGUGCCAACUUGGUGCCCCCUCCCCGUUUCUGGCACAGCCCUCUGUUCUGGGGAAAUUCCUCUCGUCCCCGGAACGUGCCAUGAUUUUGCUACCUCUGAGCCUUUGUCUCCAACCCCCACCGCGCCUGGGCUCCCCGCCCGGUUUCUCUUCCUGGGCUGACAGGGCAGGUCUGGAGUUGGAGGAACCUCGCACAAACCCUAAUUAUAGACCCUGACAUUGCUGACUUAGGAAGCUGUGCGACGCUGGACAAGCACAUGAACCUCUCUGAGCUUUGAUCACUUCACGUGUAAAACGUCAUUCUAAUCGGUAGCUGUGAACUUGGCGGCGCCAGGGACCACCAGGAUCUACAUGAUAAUCAAAGCCCCGGAAAGGGUGCCAUUGCCUGGGAGGUGGAGAGGAAGGAGAGGCGGCUUGGGACACAGAGCAGAUACGGAGUGCGAGCGUGUGAACAGGCAGGUGACUCGGGCCUGGUCUCCCGGCGGGUGCUAAACCAUCAUCUGUCCCAGGUCCCCCUCGUGGGAGAGGGCACCCCUGCUCACCGCUCACCCCAUUACCCAACACCAUCCCUCUCCGUCCCGGGGACAGGGCCACACGUGCGGAGCACGGAAUAAGGAGUCCUAACGACAGUGGACCUGCCCCUUGGGAGCACUUGGCUGUAAGGACACGGCCGCGUGAUGCCGCCCCAGGGAGUGCUGCCUACUCCCAUCCACUCCUGUCCCCAAGGCCUCCCUUUGACUUCUGCAGCUCCCAGCCUGGGCCUGCGGGCCGCCCAGCCUCCUGAGAGUGUCUGCACUCUGGGCCCCGUCACCCUGGGAGCCCCAGCCACCCCUUGCUGCAGGGGGGUGGGCAGGGUGCCCUGGGCACACUUCCCUUGCGUGGACCGGCUCAUCGGAUCCCACGGGGGCCUGUGGGAGCGUCAGUGCCGUGGGAACGUUGUCGCGAGUCCCACACAGUGGCUGAACCGAAGCACAGAGUGGCCCACCCACGGUCACACAGGAAGGCAGACGAGCUGCCACCCACAUGCAGACCCAGGGCUUCACGGAGCCCCAGAGAGCGCGGCUGUGGACGGACCCCAGCCCCUCAUCCUCAUCUAACGGGCCGGAAUGUCAUUGGCCGAUUUCAGGGGGACUGUGGAAGCCGUCUUGUCCCAGCCCGAGGAUCUGCUCUGAUGCUCCCAGGGGCUGUCUGGGAUCUGGCCUGACCUGGGGCUCUGCCCUGUGCCCCCUGCACCCGACGGGGGCAAGACAGGGGCCUGGGUGCUGGGGUACGAAGGGCAGGUGCGACCCUGAAGCCGGGGGCCUCCAGGCUUCCGUGGGGCUGUGGUCCCUCGGAGCUGGGGCUUCAGCCCUGCUGCUCUGCCAGCUUUUCUCUUCCAUUCUCCACCUGCGGCCCCAGAUGGGCUUCGUCCAGGGAAUGCCCUGCAGAAACCGCUCCUGGCUUCUCCCGGUCCUCACCCUUGCCAUAGCGGGGAGGGUUUCUGGUCUGGUCUGGUUUUCUCAGUCUUUAUUAGAAGCCUUCGGGAUCUUUCCCACGAGGGACGGGAGCCUGUUAUCCCUGGCAAGCUGCUGCACGGCCAGUGGGAGGGAGCCCUCCCACACCCCCCAGGGCCGAGCUGGCAGCUGGGGUGGGGUGGAGCCCGCUGUGGGCCGUGGGAAAGGGGGCCCCAGAGAGGGGUUGGCAGGGAGGAGCCCCUUCUCCCUCUGAUGGAAUUUCUCUUUACCAGAUCUUUGGGGAGAGGGGAUGAAGGGUGGAGUAGACUCCCCAGGCUGGAAGGACGCUUGCCCCCCAGCCUCCGGGCUGGCUUGUCUCUCUGCCCGGACCCCCUGCCCCACUCUCCUCACAGCACUAGCUCUUACUGAUCCAUUUUGUCCUGCCUUCAGUGCUGCUUCUUCCAGGAAGACCGCCCUGCUUCCCCUGGACCUGAGGUAGUGACUUUCCCUGUGCUCCUAGAAUACCCUCUACCCCUGUCUCUGCCAAUGGAAUUUAGGUUCCUUGAGGGCUGAGGCCAUGCCUUCUUGCCCACCUGGUGUCCUCAGCACCCGGCCUCACACAUCACAGGCUUGCAACAGCUGGGACAGGAGCCAGCCUGUUAUCUCUCGCUCCCCUUUCCCUCUGGGGUCGAAGCUCACCGCCUCACCGCCUGAGGCUCCCAGCUUCUCCCUCCCCCACUGGGACCACAUCCAGCCAGGAAUGACGCAAAGGUUUCCUGUGUCACACAGAACAGAAGCAGAGGCAAGGUGGACAAAGGGGGCUAUAGGGUAGGGGAACUCCUGGAAGAGGUGACUCGGUCGCGUGGGAAAUCAGAGACUGGGAGAGGUCUGUCACGUGAAGGGCCUACUCAGAGUGCUCUGGUUGGAGAGGAGGAGCGAGUGCAAAGGCCCUGGGGCAGGAACCAGCUUGGCAGGUUUGAGGGCCACACAGGUCCAGAGCAGUGGAGCUGAGUGAGCUGUGGGUCUUAUUCUAAGUAUGUCGGAAGCCAGGGAAGGACGUGCCAUGACUCGGCCAGAGGCCGGCCUUCCUGGCGCCAGGGGGGCUCGCUGAGCCGAGGCUGAGCGGCAAGGCUUGGGGGAUUCCCGGGGGUCCCACGGCCUCCCCGGCCCCAGACGCCCGGGCAGUCCUGCACGUGCUGGCCAUGAUCUGGAAAUGUUGGUGGAAGGCACGGCAAGGAGCAACACGUCCCGUGGGGGCGGCGGGGGGCCGCGGGAGUACACUCACCUUCCGGUUCCCAGAGUUGAUAUGACCUGGUGAGAAGUAGGUUAGGGGCAGAGAGAACCUGUUUUUCAGCCACCCACAGGGAUGCAGACAUGGCUCAGUGAGCAUUUUCACCUUUGAGCAAAAACAGCAAGGCCUGCCUCUGUCUGAGUUCCCGGUACUUAGACACAAAGGUAUGAGUUAUAUGGUAAAAAGGCAUUAAGUUCUAUGACAAAAAGGGGCCAUUCUUGUUCCCUCCCAUUAGAAGGGCCUGACCUGCUGUAAGGGUGCCGCCCUCUGCAUGGGGUCUCACCCCAUCCCUGGGGGACCCACAAGGCACACCUACCUCUCCACUUCCUCCCACAUGAUUGGUGAGGAAGGAAACUGAGGCUCAGAGGGCCCUAAACACCUCCCCAAGGCCCAGGCCAGAACGAGCAGGAGAGGAGCUUAGCACCCGCUCCUCGUCCUGCGCUGCUGAAAAUGAUCCCUUCUCGUGAAGUAGUUCAUUCGCACAAGAGGACAGAGGGGGACACUAAGGUGACACGGACACCACAUGCCACCUCCGGCCUAAGACAGAGAAGCAAGACAUGCCAGGACCCAGCAGCCCGGCCCCCGCGCUGGCCGGUGACCCUCUGCCCCACAGGACACAGCCGUUCCACGUGGGACCCACCGUAAAUCCAAUAUGGUCUCCCCGCGACAUCCUU